ensembl:misc_RNA Gm55783 predicted gene, 27610
AGAAUCAGUCUGGGGUCGGCCAACUCCGGAUCUGCUCGAGGUGGACACACAAAAACAAAAAGCCAAGUUGGAAAA